rnacentral:rRNA from 1 species
CCGGCGAUGUCCGAAUGGGGAAACCCAGUGCAAUUCGUUGCACUAUCGUUAACUGAAUACAUAGGUUAACGAGGCGAACCGGGGGAACUGAAACAUCUAAGUACCCCGAGGAAAAGAAAUCAACCGAGAUUCCCCCAGUAGCGGCGAGCGAACGGGGAGCAGCCCAGAGUCUGAAUCAGCUUGUGUGUUAGUGGAACGGUCUGGAAAGUCCGACGGUACAGGGUGAUAGUCCCGUACACCAAAAUGCACAGGUUGUGAACUCGAAGAGUAGGGCGGGACACGUGGUAUCCUGUCUGAAUAUGGGGGGACCAUCCUCCAAGGCUAAAUACUCCUGACUGACCGAUAGUGAACCAGUACCGUGAGGGAAAGGCGAAAAGAACCCCGGCGAGGGGAGUGAAAAAGAACCUGAAACCGUGUACGUACAAGCAGUGGGAGCACCUUCGGGUGUGACUGCGUACCUUUUGUAUAAUGGGUCAGCGACUUAUAUUCUGUAGCAAGGUUAACCGUAUAGGGGAGCCGCAGGGAAACCGAGUCUUAACUGGGCGUUAAGUUGCAGGGUAUAGACCCGAAACCCGGUGAUCUAGCCAUGGGCAGGUUGAAGGUUGGGUAACACUAACUGGAGGACCGAACCGACUAAUGUUGAAAAAUUAGCGGAUGACUUGUGGCUGGGGGUGAAAGGCCAAUCAAACCGGGAGAUAGCUGGUUCUCCCCGAAAGCUAUUUAGGUAGCGCCUCGUGAAUUCAUCUUCGGGGGUAGAGCACUGUUUCGGCUAGGGGGUCAUCCCGACUUACCAACCCGAUGCAAACUACGAAUACCGAAGAAUGUUAUCACGGGAGACACACGGCGGGUGCUAACGUCCGUCGUGAAGAGGGAAACAACCCAGACCGCCAGCUAAGGUCCCAAAGUCAUGGUUAAGUGGGAAACGAUGUGGGAAGGCACAGACAGCCAGGAUGUUGGCUUAGAAGCAGCCAUCAUUUAAAGAAAGCGUAAUAGCUCACUGGUCGAGUCGGCCUGCGCGGAAGAUGUAACGGGGCUAAACCAUGCACCGAAGCUGCGGCAGCGACACUAUGUGUUGUUGGGUAGGGGAGCGUUCUGUAAGCCUGCGAAGGUGUGCUGUGAGGCAUGCUGGAGGUAUCAGAAGUGCGAAUGCUGACAUAAGUAACGAUAAAGCGGGUGAAAAGCCCGCUCGCCGGAAGACCAAGGGUUCCUGUCCAACGUUAAUCGGGGCAGGGUGAGUCGACCCCUAAGGCGAGGCCGAAAGGCGUAGUCGAUGGGAAACAGGUUAAUAUUCCUGUACUUGGUGUUACUGCGAAGGGGGGACGGAGAAGGCUAUGUUAGCCGGGCGACGGUUGUCCCGGUUUAAGCAUGUAGGCUGGUUGUCCAGGCAAAUCCGGAUAAUCAAGGCUGAGGUGUGAUGACGAGGCACUACGGUGCUGAAGUAACAAAUGCCCUGCUUCCAGGAAAAGCCUCUAAGCAUCAGGUAACAUCAAAUCGUACCCCAAACCGACACAGGUGGUCAGGUAGAGAAUACCAAGGCGCUUGAGAGAACUCGGGUGAAGGAACUAGGCAAAAUGGUGCCGUAACUUCGGGAGAAGGCACGCUGGUGUGUAGGUGAAGUCCCUGCGGAUGGAGCUGAGACCAGUCGAAGAUACCAGCUGGCUGCAACUGUUUAUUAAAAACACAGCACUGUGCAAACACGAAAGUGGACGUAUACGGUGUGACGCCUGCCCGGUGCCGGAAGGUUAAUUGAUGGGGUUAUCCGUAAGGAGAAGCUCUUGAUCGAAGCCCCGGUAAACGGCGGCCGUAACUAUAACGGUCCUAAGGUAGCGAAAUUCCUUGUCGGGUAAGUUCCGACCUGCACGAAUGGCGUAAUGAUGGCCAGGCUGUCUCCACCCGAGACUCAGUGAAAUUGAACUCGCUGUGAAGAUGCAGUGUACCCGCGGCAAGACGGAAAGACCCCGUGAACCUUUACUAUAGCUUGACACUGAACAUUGAGCCUUGAUGUGUAGGAUAGGUGGGAGGCUUUGAAGCGUGGACGCCAGUCUGCGUGGAGCCAACCUUGAAAUACCACCCUUUAAUGUUUGAUGUUCUAACGUUGGCCCCUGACCGGGGUUGCGGACAGUGUCUGGUGGGUAGUUUGACUGGGGCGGUCUCCUCCCAAAGCGUAACGGAGGAGCACGAAGGUUAGCUAAUCCUGGUCGGACAUCAGGAGGUUAGUGCAAUGGCAUAAGCUAGCUUGACUGCGAGCGUGACGGCGCGAGCAGGUGCGAAAGCAGGUCAUAGUGAUCCGGUGGUUCUGAAUGGAAGGGCCAUCGCUCAACGGAUAAAAGGUACUCCGGGGAUAACAGGCUGAUACCGCCCAAGAGUUCAUAUCGACGGCGGUGUUUGGCACCUCGAUGUCGGCUCAUCACAUCCUGGGGCUGAAGUAGGUCCCAAGGGUAUGGCUGUUCGCCAUUUAAAGUGGUACGCGAGCUGGGUUUAGAACGUCGUGAGACAGUUCGGUCCCUAUCUGCCGUGGGCGCUGGAGAAUUGAGGGGGGCUGCUCCUAGUACGAGAGGACCGGAGUGGACGCAUCACUGGUGUUCGGGUUGUCAUGCCAAUGGCACUGCCCGGUAGCUAAAUGCGGAAGAGAUAAGUGCUGAAAGCAUCUAAGCACGAAACUUGCCCCGAGAUGAGUUCUCCCUGAGACUUUAAGUCUCCUGAAGGAACGUUGAAGACGACGACGUUGAUAGGCCGGGUGUGUAAGCGCAGCGAUGCGUUGAGCUAACCGGUACUAAUGAACCGUGAGGCUUAACCUUACAACGCCGAAG